GCCGGGCAUGGUGGUGGGUGCCUGUAGUCCCAGCUACUGAGGAGGCUGAGGCAGGAGAAUUGCUUGAGCCUGGGAGGUGGAGGUUGCAGUGAACUGAGAUCAUGCCACUGCACCCAAGCCUGGGUGACAGAGUGAGACUCAGUCUCCAAAAAAGAAAAAAAGAUAUUAGUGGCUGACUGUGCCAGUAAUCCCACCUAGCACUUUGGGAGGCUGGAGGAUCACUUGAGCCCAGGAGUUUGAGACCAGCCUGGGCAACAUAGCGAGACCCUGUCUCU
ensembl:misc_RNA Metazoa_SRP Metazoan signal recognition particle RNA